GUUUUUUUUUUCUUGCAGAAAAUGGUAGUGUACUCUUAGAGAUACUGUCAUAUCGUUAUAUCAUCUCAGAAUUGUUUUCUAAUAACACAUACUUAGGCAUAAAAUGUUAUCUGUGUGGUCUCAUAAAAGUCUCCUCAUAUUUGAGGAGAGUAGUUUGUGCUUUCUGUUUUUCUACUCUGCCUGUUGAAGUAUCUUGCUUUAUCCUCUGGCUCACAUUAUGGUUGCUGUCUCUCCAGCCAUUGCCUCUGCAUCUUGAAAGGAAGAGGUGGAAUUGCAAAAGACAAAGGAGCAGCCCUCCCAAUGAAAGCGGCUUUUGGAAACAAAUUUAGCUGUAAGAAGUAGCCCUAAGAAGAUUUUCCUGAUUUGUCUCAUCACUACAGACCCACAUCCGGUGCCCUAGGUAAGGGAAGGCAGGUCUCUCCUGGGCCCACUGGCCAGCUUGUCGGCUUCCCUGGGC
rnacentral:lncRNA from 1 species